rnacentral:rRNA from 1 species
UACGUAGGGGGCAAGCGUUGUCCGGAUUUAUUGGGCGUAAAGAGCGUGUAGGCGGCCAGGUAGGUCCGCUGUGAAAACUCGAGGCUCAACCUCGAGAUGUCGGCGGAAACCAUCUGGCUAGAGUCCGGAAGAGGAGAGUGGAAUUCCCGGUGUAGCGGUGAAAUGCGCAGAUAUCGGGAAGAACACCCGUGGCGAAGGCGGCUCUCUGGGACGGUACUGACGCUGAGACGCGAAAGCGUGGGGAGCGAACAGG